GUGGCUGAGUGGUUAAGCGCUUGGCUUCCAACCUGGGGUCCUGGGUUCGAAUCUCGGC
rfam:Biomphalaria glabrata isolate BB02 linkage group LG24 unlocalized genomic scaffold LG24_random_Scaffold17, whole genome shotgun sequence.